rnacentral:lncRNA from 1 species
GAUGACUUUGCAGAAAGACCAGGACUGAAAUCCCUCUGGAUGUGCUCUGCUGCUAUCUUGACAGUUUCAGUGUUUGACUAUUUCAGGUCUCUCUCCCCCUAGGAAUUAGGUGAGGAAUUACUUAGAAAUGGAUGGAACAAUAAAUGCUAACUGCAGCAUUCCUGGAAGUUCCUAUAACAGAUAGAAUAUAAAUGUAGGUUUUAAAAAAAACUGAUGCAUUAAUAGAACUUAUUUGAAAAGUACAAAUUGCAUUAUGGAACAAUUUAAAUUCAAGAUCAUAUUGCUUGGAGAGCUUUUUCAUACAACAUCGCUAUUUUACCAUCAAUAAUAGUAGAAUGAGAUAGAAUCAGAUGUUCCCUUCCACCUAAGACUGAAUCCACAAAGAAGGGUAUAAAAAUAAAACAUUCUCCCACUAAUAUUUGGAGUCCACUAUUGUGCUCUAGGGGAAAGUGCUACAUUAAUAUAAGAAAACAACUUAAAGCAGAAAAGAGCAUUUAUUGCAUCAAUUUACUUGGUAAUAUAACAACUUAUUUCAUAAACUUCUCCAAACAUUGCUUAUAUUUUGAAAACAUAUAACAUUAAAUCAUUUGUACAUACAUCCAUCCUACUGUCAUAAUUAAUGUCAUAUUUUAGAAAUAAUUAUUUGAGGAAUGCACGUUUCAUUGUAUACUAGAAGAUCAGGCAAGUACAAAGAGAAAGCUUUGAAUAUGAUAUAGCUAUGACUAUGAAUAUGAUAUGAAUAUAACAGUAACAGAAUAUUACUGUGACUAUAUUACUCUAUAAAAUAGGACACAUUUCUAACAGUCAGGUCGAUCUAAACUGUCUUUAGUUAGACUGAUGAUUUUCAAGAAAUUCUUCCUCUCCCUAUGUCCUAUUCCUAUAUGUAAAACCUGAAAUCAACAUGCUAGAGAGUGUCAGGCUCUUUCCUACUUUAUGCCAUCAGGAUAGGUGCUAUUAUAUUAACACGAAGGCAUUAUAUAUUGACUUUUUAUAUAAAUUAAGUGUUAAUAUUAAUGGGAGUUAUUACUGCAAAGUUUUUGCUAUUUAAUACAUUCUAAAAUUUAAAUAUAUUUUGAUCAUAUUCUUCACUUCUCUGCAUUCUUCUAACUCUUUUCUUCCACCCUACCCAUCUACUUAAAUUUCUUUCUCAAAAGCAACAAAAAUACCUCAACAACAAAGC